rfam:Ovis aries breed Texel chromosome 14, whole genome shotgun sequence.
UCCCUGGUGGUCGAGGGGCCAAGACUCUGCACUCUCAAUGCAGGGGACCCGGGUUCAAUCCCUGGAUGGGGAA